UACGUGACCUGCGGAGGGUCAUUA
rnacentral:rRNA from 1 species